AGGCGCGUAGCUCAGGGGUGAGAGCACUUGCUUGACGCGCAAGGGGUCAGGAGUUCGAAUCUCCUCGCGCCUA
rnacentral:tRNA from 1 species